GUACUAAUGUCAUUGAUUUCUCCCUUCUGAUGAAUCAUGAUGUCAUUAAUUUGAUGUUGUGGGGAGUCAGGACUGUUACUUUGAAAAAAUUAGAGUGUUUAAAGCAAGCACGCGCUUGAAUACAUUAGCAUGGAAUAAUGAAAUAGGACGUUCGAUUCUAUUUUGUUGGUUUCUAGGAUCAACGUAAUGAUUAAUAGGGAUAGUUGGGGGCAUUAGUAUUCAAUUGUCAGAGGUGAAAUUCUUGGAUUUAUUGAAGACUAACUACUGCGAAAGCAUUUGCCAAGGAUGUUUUCAUUAAUCAAGAACGAAAGUUAGGGGAUCGAAGACGAUCAGAUACCGUCGUAGUCUUAACCAUAAACUAUGCCGACUAGGGAUCGGAUGAUGUUAAUUUUU
rnacentral:rRNA from 1 species